rnacentral:rRNA from 1 species
GAUGAACGCUGGCGGCGUGCCUAAUACAUGCAAGUCGAGCGAACAGACGAGGAGCUUGCUCCUCUGACGUUAGCGGCGGACGGGUGAGUAACACGUGGAUAACCUACCUAUAAGACUGGGAUAACUUCGGGAAACCGGAGCUAAUACCGGAUAAUAUAUUGAACCGCAUGGUUCAAUAGUGAAAGACGGUUUUGCUGUCACUUAUAGAUGGAUCCGCGCCGCAUUAGCUAGUUGGUAAGGUAACGGCUUACCAAGGCAACGAUGCGUAGCCGACCUGAGAGGGUGAUCGGCCACACUGGAACUGAGACACGGUCCAGACUCCUACGGGAGGCAGCAGUAGGGAAUCUUCCGCAAUGGGUGAAAGCCUGACGGAGCAACGCCACGUGAGUGAUGAAGGUCUUCGGAUCGUAAAACUCUGUUAUUAGGGAAGAACAAAUGUGUAAGUAACUAUGCACGUCUUGACGGUACCUAAUCAGAAAGCCACGGCUAACUACGUG